GCCGGUGUAGCUCAGUGGUAGAGCAGCUGUUUUGUAAACAGCAGGUCGUGGGUUCAAUUCCUAUUACCGGCUCCA
rnacentral:tRNA from 1 species